GAUGAACGCUGGCGGCGUGCCUAAUACAUGCAAGUCGAGCGAACGGACGAGAAGCUUGCUUCUCUGAUGUUAGCGGCGGACGGGUGAGUAACACGUGGAUAACCUACCUAUAAGACUGGGAUAACUUCGGGAAACCGGAGCUAAUACCGGAUAAUAUUUUGAACCGCAUGGUUCAAAAGUGAAAGACGGUCUUGCUGUCACUUAUAGAUGGAUCCGCGCUGCAUUAGCUAGUUGGUAAGGUAACGGCUUACCAAGGCAACGAUGCAUAGCCGACCUGAGAGGGUGAUCGGCCACACUGGAUCUGAGACACGGUCCAGACUCCUACGGGAGGCAGCAGUAGGGAAUCUUCCGCAAUGGGCGAAAGCCUGACGGAGCAACGCCGCGUGAGUGAUGAAGGUCUUCGGAUCGUAAAACUCUGUUAUUAGGAAAGAACAUAUGUGUAAGUAACUGUGCACAUCUUGACGGUACCUAAUCAGAAAGCCACGGCUAACUUCGUG
rnacentral:rRNA from 1 species